UUAAUAAACCUAAAUGCCCUAAAGGUGCCAGAUCACUGACCUUGGAAGCUAAGCAGGGUCAUUCCUGGUUAGUGCUUGGCUGGGAGACCACAAGAGAUUGCCAGGUGCUUGCUAGU
rnacentral:rRNA from 1 species